UACGUAGGGCGCAAGCGUUGUCCGGAUUCACUGGGUGUAAAGGGUGCGCAGGCGGACUGGCAAGUCAGGGGUGAAAUCUCACAGCUCAACUGUGAAACUGCCUUUGAUACUGCUGGUCUUGAGUCAGGGAGAGGUUGAUGGAAUUCCAGGUGUAGCGGUGAAAUGCGUAGAUAUCUGGAAGAACACCGGUGGCGAAGGCGACGUGCUGGACACCUACUGACGCUGAGGCGCGAAAGCCAGGGGAGCAAACGGG
rnacentral:rRNA from 1 species